rnacentral:rRNA from 1 species
AACGAACGCUGGCGGCAGGCUUAACACAUGCAAGUCGAGCGCAUCCUUCGGGGUGAGCGGCGGACGGGUGAGUAACGCGUGGGAACGUGCCCCCUUCUACGGAAUAGCCACGGGAAACUGAGAGUAAUGCCGUAUACGCCCGCAAGGGGAAAGAUUUAUCGGAGGAGGAUCGGCCCGCGUUUGAUUAGGUAGUUGGUGUGGUAACGGCCUACCAAGCCGACAAUCCAUAGCUGGGUUGAGAGGAUGAUUAGCCACUCCGAGACUGGGACACGGCCCAGACUCCUACGGGAGGCAGCAGUGGAGUAUCGUGGACAAUGGGGUCAAUCCUGAUGCUGCCAUGCCGCGUGAACGAUGAAGGCAGUAGGGUUCUAAAGAUCUUUCAGCUAGGAAGAUAAUGACGGUACCAGCAGAAGAAGCCCCGGCUAACUCCGUG